AUUGAACGUUGGCGGCAUGCCUUACACAUGCAAGUCGAACGGCAGCACGGGUGCUUGCACCUGGUGGCGAGUGGCAAACGGGUGAGUAAUAUAUCGGAACGUACCUUAUUGUGGGGGAUAACGCAGCGAAAGCUGUGCUAAUACCGCAUAAUCCCUAAGGGGGAAAGCGGGGGACCGUAAGGCCUCGCGCAAUUAGAGCGGCCGAUACCUGAUUAGCUAGUUGGUGAGGUAAAGGCUCACCAAGGCAACGAUCAGUAGCUGGUCUGAGAGGACGAUCAGCCACACUGGGACUGAGACACGGCCCAGACUCCUACGGGAGGCAGCAGUGGGGAAUUUUGGACAAUGGGGGCAACCCUGAUCCAGCAAUGCCGCGUGAGUGAAGAAGGCCUUCGGGUUGUAAGGCUCUUUUGUCAGGGAAGAAACAGCAGCUCUAACACAGUAUGCGAAUGACGGUACCUGAAGAAUAAGCACCGGCUAACUACGUGCCAGCCGCCGCGGUAA
rnacentral:rRNA from 1 species